rnacentral:rRNA from 1 species
UCGCCCGCCGCGCGCGGCGGGCGGGGCGGGGGCACGGGGGGCCUACGGGAGGCAGCAGUGAGGAAUAUUGGUCAAUGGGCGCGGGCCUGAACCAGCCAAGUCGCGUGAAGGAUGACUGCCCUACGGGUUGUAUACUUCUUUUAUAAAGGAAUAAAGUGGUCCACGUGUGGAUUUUUGUAUGUACUUUAUGAAUAAGGAUCGGCUAACUCCGUGCCAGCAGCCGCGGUAAUA